rnacentral:sRNA from 1 species
GAAACCGUUGGGAGGGAAACGAACGAGGUUGGUGCAGUGAUUGCGCAGGCUCAGGUUCUGCCAAAGGUGCCAGCUGGGUGAUCCAGAGUGUCCCCCGUUGUCUGCCGGAGGCAGAGCCGUACUCCUCGCGAGCACGGACCAGCGGCGGUUGGAGUGGAGCCAUAAGGCUGCYUGGACGGUACGUCGGGUCGGGYUCGCCCGCUCGACRACUUAUAGACUGGCUUCCCGGUGCUCGACUCCGACCGAGGAAGGAGGGCAGCUUUUGCCCGGUGUGGUGCACGCCGUAUGGCGGGGCCUCCCGUCGAGGGCGAGCCGUGCUUUGUGGACUGCAUGCAGUGCUCACUGUGACGGCGGACCCACGGUCGGUGAGCGUCACUUGUGCACCAGUGCUGCUGGUAUUGGGACGGCCUCGUCCGACCCGUCUUG